UAUCACUCCCUGACACCCUAUAAACCUGAGACUCCAUGACCAGUCAAAGAAGGCAUUUGGGCAGUGAGCAGUCAGUGAAGACUUGCUGAAUGGAAUGAAAUGGAAAGAAAGAACAUGACAAACAGUCUGCCUAACAGCUGCCUGACAUCUCCCUGGUAAAGUCACCUGCUCAUGGAGGUUCUCUGUAGAUUGACAUUUUACAAAUUAGCAUCCCCUUCAAGCUGAAAGAGCACCAGGGAGCCACCUCAUUGGGAGGCACGCUAGAGUAAUAGCAGCAACACCACUCAUGGGUUGGAGGAGCCGGAGAAGAGAAGCAAAUAAAC
rnacentral:lncRNA from 1 species